AGGAGUGACAAGGAAGCAGCCAGUGUCUUUGGGGAGGCAGGCAAGCUUGUUGUGCCAAAAAAGGUCUUUGUUUUAAAUCAGAUUGGAAGGGGGAGAACACCAUUGUAAAAAAAAUAACUAGUUUUUGCAGGCGACCGGAGGGCUGAGAGGCAGGCAGCAGGCUUGGACAUCAUCACAAGUCGGUGACAGAUGGCAACAUGAGAAGGAGAACGGAAGAUAGGGAUGACUCAAAGAGAAAAACAUCUUUGUGGCAAUCUCUACAGGGUCUACAGCUUUGCCUGCUGUCUGCUGCUGAUGCAUUAGAGCUCCUGCAGAGAGGACCAAUAUCCAGGAGAGCGGAUCACGUGGGAGCGGAUGCUUGGAGUUCCGGAAGUACAGACAGAUGUAUGGAGUGGAAAAGUACCAGUGUUAAAGGUUGUGUCGAUGCUUCCUUCUAAGUGGUUCCUAUGCCGUCUGGAAAGGCAGAGAAGUAUUGUGGUCAGGGACCCUUCGGAAGAGCCUUGCCUGCUGACACCGCCCGCACUCUGGGGCGCCCUGAGCUGCAUCCCACCCAGUAGCACGUACACAGCAAUAAAUCCCGGGGAAGGCUAGUCACCAGCUUGUAACUAGUAAAACAGGUAGCUGAGCUAUCCCUAAUCCCCACUCCGUCUCCCUGAAAUCCCAGUAGGAACCCCAACUGUCACUUUGCCUGCCCCUUAGUUUCUUCUUCACGUGUGCUUCUGGGGCUUAGAGCUGGAAAGGACUUUGUGUUCACACAACAAGGCGUGGCCUUUAUAUUUAUUCUGGAUGCUGCAGAGACAGCACACUCGUGGAGAAGACAACAAUUAGAAGCCUAUGCUCGGAGCAGAGAAGCCUUUUAAAAGCACCUGGAUUUGAGAAUUCCAUCAGGAUACAGGGUUUCUCUGUAUAGCCCUGGCUGUCCUGGAACUCACUUUGUAGACCAGGCUGGCCUUGAACUCAGAAAUCCGCCUGUGUGAAGAGCCGUGCAGCGAGCAAUCAAGUGCGUGCCGCCAGUAAUCCCUGUGGAGAGCCAUGCCGCGAGCAAUUGCCAUUAUAAGAUGGCGCUGGCCUCCACUGUGCCUAACUAGUAAACAAGCCUUGUACGCAGGUGCGAGAGUGAACUCACUCCUAGUCACUCCUAUUAUCGGGACGUAAUAGUGGGGUGACGGGCGAGCAACAAAUCAGGAGCUGUCACGCCAUAUCAGGUUCUGAAACGUCACGCUGCGGGCUAUAAAAGCAGCG